rnacentral:misc_RNA from 1 species
UUUCCGUAGGUGAACCUGCGGAAGGAUCAUUACAGAGUUAAUGCCCGAAAGGGUAGACCUCCCACACUUGUGAAUUAUUACGUUGUGGCUUUGGCGAGCUGCCUUUGGGCCACGGGCUUUCACGCUUGAGCCCGCCCGCCAGAGGAUACUAAAACUCGUGUUAUUAAUGUCGUCUAAGUACUAUAUAAUAGUUAAAACUUUCAACAACGGAUCUCUUGGUUCUG